CGACCCCAGCUCAAGAGAGAACACCCGCUGAGUUUAAGCAUAUAAUUGAGCGGAGGAAAAGAAACUUACAAGGAUUCCCUUAGUAACGGCGAGUGAACCGGGAAGAGCCCAGCAUGAAAAUCGGGUGGCAGCGUCCCCUGAAUUGUAGUCUGUAGAAGCGUCUUUAGCGGCGGACUGGGCCCAAGUCCCCUAGAAAGGGGCGCCUAAGAGGGUGACAGCCCCGUCGGGCCUGGACCCUGCCGCACCACGAGGCGUUGUCGGCGAGUCGGGUUGUUUGGGAAUGCAGCCCUAAUCGGGUGGUAAA
rnacentral:ncRNA from 1 species